AAAACAUGUCUUUUUGUAUAAUAAUUUAAAGUCUAAUCUGCCCACUGAUUUAAUAAUUAAAGGGCUGCAGUAUAUUGACUGUACAAAGGUAGCAUAAUCAUUAGUCUUUUAAUUGGAGACUUGUAUGAAAGAUUUGAUGAAAUAUAAACUGUCUCUAAUUUAUUUAUAAAAAUUAAUUUUUUAGUUAAAAAGCUAAAAUUUUAUUAAAAGACGAGAAGACCCUAUAGAGUUUUAUAUUUGUUAUUAAUUAUAUAUAUAUAUAUAUAUAUAUAUAUAAUAUUUAAAUUUAUUUAAUUAAUAAUAAAUAUUGUAUUGGGGUGAUAAAAAAAUUAAAUAAACUUUUUUUAAAUGAAAAAUAUAAAUAAAUAAAAUUAUGAUCCAUUAUUAAUGAUUAAAAGAAAAAAUUACCUUAGGGAUAACAGCGUAAUAUUUUUUUUUAGAACAAAUAAGAAAAAAAGUUUGCGACCUCGAUGUUGGAUUAAGAUAAAAUUUAAAUGCAAAAGUUUAAAAUUUUGAUCUGUUCGAUCAUUAAAAUCUUACAUGAUCUGAGC
rnacentral:rRNA from 1 species